AGGGAAGGAGGCCAAUGCUACAAGGGUUAUCUCACAACCUCAGAUGCUGGGUAAGUCGAAGGAGACAGAAUCGCUUCUGGAUAACAUUCAGAAGGCCGGAGCGAUUAUUUGGGAGAGAAAAGCCUGCCCUAUUCUUUCCGAGGUAAAUAGUUCAUCUGUCAGCA
ensembl:misc_RNA